AUACUCUCUUUGAUAGCACAUGUACUAAAAUUGCAAUGAUACAGAGAAGAUUAGCCUGGCCUCUGAGCAAGGAUGAUGCCUCAAUUGAUGAAGUAUUCUAUAAAAAA